rnacentral:rRNA from 1 species
UACGUAGGUGGCAAGCGUUGUCCGGAAUUAUUGGGCGUAAAGCGCACGUAGGCGGUUCGUUAUGUCGGAUGUGAAAGCCCUUGGCUUAACCGAGGAAGUGCAUCCGAAACUGGCGAGCUAGAGUACGAAAGAGGAGUCGCGGAAUUCCCGGUGUAGAGGUGAAAUUCGUAGAUAUCGGGAGGAACACCGGUGGCGAAGGCGGCGAUCUGGGUCGAUACUGACGCUGAGGUGCGAAAGCGUGGGGAGCAAACAGG